UGGGUGGAUGGGGACCUUUUUUUUUUUUGCAUUUCAGUUCUUAGGUCUUGGUUAUUUAUAUAUACAUAUAUAUAUAUUUAAAAACUAAGCUGUUAGAUAUAUCUUCUGUUUAAUAACUGUGUAGAGGCAACAUUGAAUCUUAUUUAUUUUGCGGAGGAGGGGGAAAAAAGACACAGCAACCCCGUAAGUGUUCAUCUUGUGACUUUGAGAAAGAAGAAUUGCCGCCUUUUUUCCUCCUCCUCAAGAGUUACGUGACCAAGUGUAACUUAUUCUGGCCCAAGUUCAAAGGUUAAACAAACAAACAAACAAACAAACAAACGUGGUUUUACGCCUGGAAGACAAAACACAGUGAGAAGUACUUCUUGACUGAGAUUUUAAGAAUGUAGGCUUAGCAUUAGUGUUCAGCUCUUUUAUGACCUUCGAUUGCUGCUCGUUGGGUUCCUAUGGGUGUAUGUUGUAUCGCAAGAUUAUUUUUUUUUAAAUGAUAAUGUUGUAUGAGUUCUUUUUUGUUGUUGUUGUCGUCGUUGGUUUUUUUUAAUCAUUUUUCCCCCUUCUCGGACCAGUUUUACUUGUACAUAGGUUUGAAGAUUAAAAAGAAUUUUUAAAGACACAACUGGGGCAAAGACCUUUGACUUUGGCCCCGCUUCCCCAUUCCCCCAAACGGGAGGGAUUUAUUUUGCGUUUCCGUUCUAUUUAUUUAUUUAUUUUCCCUACUCCUAACCUUUUCUCUCGUAUUGCUGUGUGCAUGUCAGACACCAGGGGGUGAUGGCUGGGGAGGGGGGGAGGCAAGGGUGCAGGAGAGGGGGGCAGUUUUAAUUGCAUGACAUUGCUGUAAAUUAGUCUCUUUUGCUUUCGUUGUCUUUCCUGCCUCCGCCCUCUCUCUACUUCUCCUCCGAGCUCCCCUCCCAUCACCCCCGUCCUUCUUUUCCCUCUUUUCUCUUCCCUUGUGUAUAGAUUUUGAUGCUUCUGUUACAUUGUACCUCUACAAAAGGCUGGGAUUUCAAUACAAAAUAAUAAUAAUAAUUUAAAAAUACCUAUAUCAGCAAAACCCACGUGGUACAAGCAGGAAGGGGAUUACUUACACAAGAUAUAAGAAUAAACGAAAGCAAUACCUCUUGUUAUCCUUCCUAUUUUGUACUUUGAAGACACACACACGCGCACACACACAUAUACAGACACAAACUGACGUUAUUUAAUGGUUUAAAAUGGACAACAAAAUCUGAUGUAUCCCUUGUUAAAUAACUGUGAGCAACUUUAGUUCAAAAACCAAUAAAUUCAUUCAGUAAAGAUACGAGCUGUGGCGUGUCCUCUUUGUGUCCGUGAGACGAGCCUCCUCCCCGCGCCGCCCGGCCCGGUAAGUACGGCGGCUCCGCCUCGCGCUGCCUCUAGAGGGCGCUGCUCCCGAACGCCUCGGGGCCUCGAGGCGCCAUUCCCCGCGCGCCCGGCGGGAAGGGGGCGUCACGCGGCGCGGCCGUUGGGCGCGAGGCAGGUCCCUGACGGCCGGAGGAGGGAGGGCGGCGGCUGCACGGAGCAGCUGUAUUAUACGCUGGCAUUUGUACGUGGGCUCCUGGAAGAAGAGCAGGCUGUUUUGAAACAACAUUCCAUUCCUACAGCCUUACCCACUGGGAUUGGAGCACAACGACGAUGGCAGCUUUGUCAGUACUUCACACGGGGUGAAUGGGAGCCUGAUUGGGCUAUAGGUAAAUAAAAGCAGCUAUCUGAGGGCAAGAUGGCACCGCUCUCUUCCCUUCCCUGCCCCUUGCCUUGCACUGAAGUGUAAACUGGUAAGCAUGUGGUGGGGAGGCUGAAUAGCCCGUCCCUUACUGCACAACAGGCUUUGUACUGUUGGUUUUUCCUGGCACCAGUGGUGCUGCUCCUGGGUGGAACAACUGCGGGAGUGCCCCAGCAAGCCCCUUGGAGCAGUAGCCAGAUGAAGAAUUGCAUUCAGAGGAGGCACGGCUCUGUGCUGCUGCUUCCUUGUGGCUGUGUUUAGCUUCUGUUUUGCUUGCUGUGGCUUGGAGCUGCAAGGGACUGAGCUCAGUGCUGGUGGUGGAGGAGCUGAUGCUCAAUUUGAGACCAAACGGUUGCCACAGCCACACUGAGAUAACAGUGGGACGUGGCCAAAAUGGAAUCUGUUUGCUGCUGCGUGAGAUUCCCUGGGCAUAUUUUCUUGUGUUUAUUUAUCUACUAUUUAUCUAUAGCUUGUUUUCCACCAAAGGUCCUGUCCCCUGGGUCAGGAGGGUGACAUGUGGAUGUGGCACCGCAGGGCCACAAUCUGCCUUCCCUGAUUAUCUGCUUUUCGUAGUUAUCAUUUAUUUACAAAGAAUGACUCAGCAGCUGUUGACUUGGCAAAUGCUGCUCUCUGCACCUUAGCCAGGCCUGCAUCCACCUGGCAGCAGGAGAAAAACUCAGAGCUGCCCUCAAGGCUUUGCCAUUGUGGUGUGCAGGGAGCUCUGGGGUCAUGCAGCAGCGGGUCUGGCUGCAGGGAUGGAGCUGCCUCUCAGAAAGGAUGUGCUGCUAGCUGGGUGCUGGUGUGUUUGUAUACCUUUGGCUUUUACUUAUUUCUAAGAGUGGUGUUUGCAGUGCAUGUGUUCUACCUUAUGCGGACCUUCAAGGUGCAGGGGUGCAGCUGGAUGAGGAGGCCUCUAGGAGAGCUGAGGUCUGUUUUGUUCUUCUGAAACCGUUAAUCUUGGUGAUUUUGUCCACCUUAUGUUGUCUUGUUGUCAGCUGCUCUGUGUGGACUAUACGGCCUCAGCAAAGGAUUGUCGCUUACUCUGGGAAUAGCUGUGUGCCCCAGGUGCUUCUGUUCUCCAAAUAAUGAAUAUUGUAAAACAUCUCUUACUUCUUUAUCGCUACACUCAGCAACAGAGAGGGGAAGUUGAGCUUUUGAUGGUGUGGAGCCCGGUAGCUCCUCCUGCAGCAGGCAGCCUGCAGCAUUCCCCACAGCUGCCAAAAGCUGAGCGUGGGAUGCCGUUGCACAGCAAUAGCUGGCCCGGCUCCAGGCUGACGUGCUGCUGACGCACUCCACUGGAUCCAGUGCCCUCGCCCACUGAUUUGCAGGCACUGAAAUAUGCUGCGUGGGGACAGCACUGCCUGCCUUGCUGGAGCUGCCCCAAGAGGAGGUUCUUGUUCAUGGAUUGCGUGCCGAUGUGCUUCCAUUCCACUGGCACUUGCCCCUCCGUGUGCUGCGGCCGCACGUUUCCUGGGGAGCGUGGAGCUCUGUGUAGCCAGCGCAAAGCUCAGCUGGUUGCCAGCAUUAGGGCAUCCCGUGGAGGGGUGCCUACAGGCUGCGUGUGCUCUGCUGCCUGAGUGAGCGCUCAGGGGAAGGAGCAGUGCAGGCAUUCCCAUAGCUAUGGUAUGGGCUGGUACGAUAGCUAUGCCUGAACUGUGUCAUUCGGGCAACCCAGACACAGAACAAUGUUAUGGGAAGGAAGAAUUUAUUGUUGUACCACUUGAUGUUUAGAAAAGGGCCAAGAAUAUCUGUGAUUUAUGCGUUAGUGUUGUGAUUUAACCCAGCAGGCAGCUCAGCACUACUCAGAUGUUUGCUCGCUCUCCCCCUCUAAGUGGGAUGGGGAAGAGAAUCAGGAAAAAAGAAAAGGGGUAGUGAGUUAGGACAGUCGAAGGAUUAACUAUUGCACGGGGCUGGGGUAAGUAAAAUGUAAGGCAAGAUAAGAAAAGGAACUUGGCGAAACUCCAUUAUCAGCAGGGACCAGCACAAGGAACCGGCUGAAGGCGGAGUGACUCUGCAAAGCAGCAGUGGGGUGAAAAGGGCAGAGUGAUGAAGACAUCGAGCCUUCAUCCAACGACCACCAGAAGGGGGGAAGAAGACCUCGAGCCUUCAUCCAACGACCACCAGGAGGAACUACAGCGCAUGCACCGGGGGAGGGACCGUAUGCAAAGGAAUUCCUGGGAAAUGAUGAAUAUGUAGAGGGUCCGGGGAAACCUGCUGAAUAUGUAGAUGUUUCCCAGGAAACCUGCUGAAUAUGUAUAAGCUUGGCUUUUAAAUAUCUAACAUUUCUGCCCAUGGUUAUGCGAGUUUGGUAGGGCGGUGACCCCCUCGCAUCUGGUGUGGGCACAGCACCGUAAUAAAGAUACCUGCUUUAUAACCUAAUCUCGGGUUAUGGAGUUUGAUUCCGCAAAUCAGUAGAACUCACAGGUUGCUCACCCAGUGACUGAUGCCCAGCCAGUCCCAGAGCGGUGGCAGCUCCCCAGUCAGCUCUCCCCAGCAUUUACAGUAUUUUGUGAUAUCACAUGGUGUGGGACGUCUGUUUGGGCAGUUGAGGUCAGCUGUCCCAGUGCUCUCCCCUUCCUGCUCCUUGUGCCACCACAGCCCCCUCGUGGGCAGGACAGCAUGAGAAGCUGAGAUGUCCUUGGCUCAGCGCUGCUCAGCAGUAACUGAAGCAUUGCUGUGUUAUCUGCACUUUUUCUCCUUAAGCCAAAACACAGCAUCACACCAGACACUAUGGAGAAAGUUGACUGUCCCAGCUUAAACUGGGGCAAUUAGAAAAGGCUGAAUAGAUUGAGUUGGUCAGAUCAAUGCAGCAGAGGUAAUGGCAGUGAGUCACAGAAAGGGAACUCGAACAUAUUAAGAGAGGCAGACUGAAUUGUUGUCUCUUCAGCUGGUGGAAAUCUGCGCAAGGUCAUUGGCCUCACUGGGUUAAGCUUUAAAUCUGGCUCUGAAUGAGCAAUAAUUCUGGCUCCAGGUUUCACUUCUGCCUUUGUCCUUUCCCUUUGCUCUUUUGUGUGCCGGGAUAGGUUCAGAGGACAGGAGCUGGCACAGCUGCUGGAUUAUCACACAGUCCCAGGGAAUGCACUCGGGUUUUCCUGACUUAGCUGUCAGCAAGAAGGGAACAGAAUGGUGUUGCUCAGGGAAAAGCUCCUCAGCGGUGUUAGAAUCACAGGGCUCUUGUGGAUUGUUUUUGUGGUUUGUGCUACAUAGGAGUGGAGGGCUGUGACUUGGAGUAUUCCCUUACAAGAUUUAAAAGGAGAAUCUUGUAGAUGAAAGUGGGCUUGCUUUAAACCGGUACCCCUCAGCUCAGCUUGUGUGAUGGCAGUCCCUGUGCAUUUUACACUGCAGAGGAGUGAAAAUGGAAGAAAAUUACUUAGUCUAAGUGUAGCAGUUUUAAGUUUGAUGAGCUCGCUGUAGCUUUUAAUCUUACUUUUAAUAUUGCUGGCAUGUGUGGGCUUGGUUUGGUUGGUAACCCAACCAGGGAUCCUGCUACAGCCAUUUGAAUCGCAUUCAGACCCCUGUCUUCUAGGUUUGUGUGAAACCAGCCAACAGUUCACAUGUUCAGAGUAGGGGGGAAAAAAAAAAAAGAAACAAGCAGAUGGAGUGCUUACUUCAUUGUGAACACCUGGCUUUGAAAAAAAGCCCGUGUUUUCAUGUCGUGGACGAGAAGUUGUUCACCAGCAAAAUGAAACAAUGCUCUUAGAAAGAACCCGAGCUAUUUGUUUGAGGAGCACCUGGAUCAGAAAUGAACGUGAAUCCAGUAAUAACAGUUAAUUAAACUGCUGUAAGAGAUGUUUUAAUCUCUUUCCUCCAGCUGUAGUUUCACUUUUGCCUUCAUCAGGGAGAUUAUAAUGAAGAGCAGAGUGCUUUUAAUCCAAUCAAAAUUCCUGAAUGGAUUGGAGUGUUUGUCCUGCUUUCACAUUUAAGCGGUGGUUACACCACCAGACUAAUUUAGUUCAAGGUUGCUAUCCUGUUACUAAAUUCAGCCCAGCGGCUGGAUGUGGGCAGGAGAAAGGUGAUUCCAGGGUAUCUGUUUUGCUCGGUGGUGUAUGAAGGUCUGUGCAGCAGGGCCAGGUCUCGAGCUGCAGCCCCUAAGCCGGGCAGCCCGGAGCUGCUCAGCAGGGAGGUUCCGGCUGAGCGCCGCUGGGUUUGAAGCGGGGCGGCGGUGCUUUUAAUAGGCAGAUGUGAGCAUUCUGGCUGUGAUACCAGUGUCCCCAGAACUGUUAAAAGGACUUCAAAAAUCAAUGCAUUUCCACCCUUUGCACUCUGUCAUGACACAGGCUGUAGAAUAUUUAAUAUUAGCAUGCAGUUAAACAAAACAAAAACCCCAGGUUAGCCAAGAUGAAGACUGGGGAUGCAUUUCUGUGUUUUGUUGUCUUACCAGAAUUUAGAUUUGAGAAUCAGCUCUUCUGCCUGAGAUACUCCGUCAGUUUGAUGCUUAAGAACAGAGAGAAUAUUUCUUGAAUUGAUUUUUGGAAGCUAAUCCUGUGGAAAUUAGUUUUGUGUUUGAAACUUUGUCAAGUGCAAUCAGGAAGAAAAAAGAAAAGUCAUUAGGAAAACUCAUCUACUCAGAGCUUUCAGGUAUAAGAAACAGUAACAACCUUAUGUUCAGUCCCUGCAGAAAGCAGCAGACUGGAACUCAUAACUGCUGUGUGGCCUUCUGGAGCUGGGUGGGUGUUCCUGCUCUAUGAGUAUGUGGCAUAGAAUUGCUGUGCAGCACUUCUUUAUCAGAAUAAGCACCCACCUUCAACAGCUUGCAUAUCUGCCCUGCUGGGGGAUCCCUGAACUACUUGUUUGGGUCACUGUGCUGGUUAAAAGGCCAAUUUGUUUUCCCUGUUUGGGUUUCCUUUUGCAGUCCUUAAGGGCAGCACCUGCUUUGGGCAUGUCUUAGAAGCCUUCCUAAUGUCAGGUGAAGCGGUGGUUUUUCAGAGAAGCCCAAAUGCUUUGUCAGAUGCCGUUGGAUGUGGUUUAGUGGGCACAGUGGUGAUGGGUUGACAGUUGGACUAGAUUAUCUGAGUGGUCUUUUCCAACCUUAAUGAUUCUGUGAACUUCCUGACUGAGCUGCUGUUGCAGCUCUCCACUGAGCAGAAAGGCUGCCUAGCCCACACGCUUUGUACUCGUUCUUUUGAGUUAUCUGGGGUUCAGAAAAAAGAGGAGUUCUAUGUUAGAGACCUUGCACUACUUUGUGAGAGAAUGUUAGCUGCCCGAGCUGGCAUACAGGAAAGUGGCAGUGCUCAGGGCAUUUUAAUGACUCUCAUAGAUGUAAUGAAAAGAAUUAGCAGAUGGUAAAACUUCAGUGGAGAAGUAAGGAGAUAGAAUACUCCUGAUGUCAGAUUCAAUUCCCUGUCCUUUCUAGCUCAGAGCCAGGAAAGGCUCUCUGGAAAAGAUGAGAGAACUUCCAUUCUGAGUGCUCAGCCACAACAAUUUGUUUUCUCAGAGCCAUGUGCUGACAUCACUUUGAGAAGCCCAAAUGUCACAGCCUGAGUGGUUCUGCUGUUGUCUGUGAAAAGAAUGGAGACCCCCAUUAACACACUGAGGGGGCUUUGCCAGCUGCUUGGUGUCUUUAAUGUCAUUUCAUGGGCUCCAUCUGGUAUAUCAGGGUUUGUUUGUACUGCCUGCAUCAGUAUCAUGUAAAGAUGCCAGAUCUGUCUUGAAACUCCUCAGGUUCUGGGCAAGUAUUUAGGCCCUAGCAGCACAGCUAGCAGCCAUACUGAGCGCUGUGCAGCUAUGACUGCUGCAGGGCCCAAGCAUUAGGAGCAGCUUUACACUGCGUAGCGUUGUCAUUCACAAAUGACAUGACCAGCAUUCUCACGUAGUAGGUUUGGGCAGAAUAAGAUGACCUUUUUCUCUGUCCUUGGUUUAGAUAGUGGAAGAGUAUUUCUGGCUUCUAAUUGUUCUGUUAAUGGAGAACUGAGGAUUGACUAGGGUAAGCUAGAUGGCAGGCAUGAGUGAGGGCUUGUUUGAUGAACUGUGGCUGUGCAAGACCAGUGCACUUAGUAAGCUCUUACAAAGCCGGCUUGUUCUUGCAUGGGAUUACUUGUUUCUCUCAGUCUUCUGCUAAGAUGCAGGAGGAAAUCCUUACCUGACAGCAUCCCCUCUCAGACCCUUGAUCAGUUCCAGCAGCAUUUCAGUGUGGGCAUGUUUGGCUGCAGCGAGGGUACCUCAGAGCCAGAGUUUCUCUCUGUUUAGAUAUGCUCAUCAGAAAAGUGUCCCAUAAGGAGCAAGCUUGAUUUCUCUUAAAAUACAUGGUUAAAAGGUUGUUGCUCAUACAUAAAAUGACAGAGUGCGCUGUGGGAUUUCUGCUUUGGUAACUUACUGCAAUUCUCAAGCAAGAAAGAAGGGAGUAGAGAUGACUUUACUGGGCUGAAGAAAGUGAUGCCCGAUUGAGUUUGUCUUGGGACUUUGUGGAGUGGGCAUGAAGCUGGUCAGGGAACGUAACCGCACAAAACAUAUGUGGGUUUAAUAAAUAAUAAACAUAUUUUUAAGAGAACACCUUUAGUCUGUGAAGGCUUGGACUCACGUUGCUGUAGUUGCAGGCCUGGAAAUUGCGUUAGGGAUUCUACAGUGGCAAGUGUAAAGCUGGGAGUCUGUCUAAUGAGACAAGGCCUUCAAAAGGCAUCUGUGUGGGGGGGGGGGAAUAGCUCAGAAGGUUUCUUCUGGCAGUUUUUGUUUGUAUCUUUAGUCUUAUUUAGCAGCUAUGCAAAAUAGCAUAGCAGUUAAUUGAUCUUUCGGGGAGGAUGGUUUGAACUUGGAAUAAUUAGGUGGUUCUGUUGUUUCAGCAGCACUUCUAUCACUUUACGAAACACCCUUACUUACUUUAAGCAGUUGUGUGACAAUUUUGUGUUAAGAGACCUAAUGCCCUCCUUUAGAUGUGAUGGGAUUUGGGCUCAGUUCUUGUAUUCAGUUUGGCUGCUUGGUGAACUGCCGCAGCCAUAGGCUGUCACUGGUAGGUUUCAGUGGCAUCACCCAGGCUGAGUUUGAAGACUUUGUGACAGUUCUGUACCAUUACGUUAUUACAGUGUAACUCAGUAACCCCUGAAACGUACAUAGUCACUGAGGCUGAUCUUUACAGUAACGCUUACUCCUGGCAAGAAGAAUAUUAAGUAAGUGUUGGCACUUAUUUCAGCGUAUUUCCUUAUUCCCCCUGUUAAAAUCAACAAGGUGGGCCACACUGAAAUAGGACAAUUUCUUUUCUCAUAAGCUGGUUGUAAAAUAUAUAUUAAAAAAAAUACUGUCCUAGAUGAAGCUUCUGUACUUCACAAAUGUAAAAUGUCUGCAGAUAAAACUCAGGACAGCUGCCGUGAACAACACCUGGCUUUUCUAGAUGCAAUGUGGUACGUACUUAUUGUUUUCUUGGUAGCUGAUUUAGUGGUUUGCAGCUUUUCAUCGAGGCAUGGGCUCCUGGGAUACUAGGUUCUGUCAGCCCUUCCUAUGGGUAGAUAAGGUAUGGCUAUUUGAUAGUUAUGACUCUCAGGUUUCAGUUCACAACAUGAAGCUAAAUAGGUUUAGAGAGAGUUGAACUACCACUUGUUCAACUCAACCUUUCCCAAAUGUAUUUCAUUUCUAACUGCCCUUCUUUAAGACUUCUAAUGCAUUUUCACAAAUAGAUAAUCAAUCACCAAAAAUAGUUGGAUUUGGGUUGUUGUACUUGCUCUUUCUUUCUUACAGCGUGCGGUAGAGAUUAAGGUAUGUGCAGGUGGUAAGUACAGGGGCCUUAAAAAUGCUGUUGUGCUGAUAGCUUCCCCUGAUUUCUGAUAAACCAACUGAUGACAAUUUUUCC